GAUUGCAGUAGUGAUAGUGAUUGUAUCGAAUCCUCGAUUCGAUUUCUAUAAUAGGGCCCAAUAUAUGUAAUUUGCAACACAUGUUCGUUUGUUUUGAUCAGCAUUUGUUUUGCACCGUAAAUAGUCUAUAGAAGCGCAUAUUUCAGUGGCUGAAAAUGAGUGGCCGAAGAAAAAAAACCAAAUCACCACCAGUUUAAACGGCUCGUUGAACCAAUGGAAGCGAGGUUUUUGUGGAUGCAGUUCUAAUUUAAUCCCGGUGUAGGAAAAGUUAGAGGAAUUCAGAGAGGAGCUCAAUGCACUGAGACCACCAAUGCAUCUUGGUUCAGGAUGGUAGAAAGUUUCAAUUGACAUGAGGGAAAAGGUAAAGAAAACACUAGCACACAACAAGCGAUAAUUUAGAGCAACAGGUGGUGGCCCCAAUACAAUAAAUCUAUUGACGCCGCUACAACAAGAAAUUGACGCUAAAAGAGAAUUACAUAUUGCAUUACAUGAAUAACAAAAAUUGUUUUGCUAAAAAAAGGGAAAUUCGUGCAUGACUCUUUACGGAAUUCCAUAGAUUGCAAUCAUCAAAAAACAUGAAAAAGUUCAUUUUCUAAUUAUAUUUUUUGUAAAGCAAAUUGUUCCACGCUGUCGUUUUUAUUACACAUGCAUGCGUGCCUUACGCCUAUUAAGCUUUAUUCUUUGAGGGAAUAUCAAUUUACUACAAAACAUAACCAUAUUAACACUUUUGGCAAUACUUUUUUUAUAGCUGAUGCCUCAGAAAAAGAAUUGGCAUCCUUUCUAUAGUGCUUCGUGAAACAUUACAAACUCGUUUCAAAAUAUUUCAUCACAACCGCUGACAUUCGAGCUUGCUAACGAAUCGAGCAGUUUUCCUCGAUUUCUAUAAUUCCAGAUUUUACUCGGUGUGAUAGUGAUUGUAUCGAAUCCUCGAUUCGAUUUCUAUAAUAGGGCCCAUAGUCCUAUUAAUCGUAUGAUGAGCCUCUGUAACGAACACAGUGAAAUAAUUGAUGUAACCAUGUCAAGGUCAAUGCUCAAAGACUAUCUGAAUAGAAUAAGAUAUAGUUAAAUUUCACUGUAUUAUUUGGGCAGCAUAUUUAGUCUACGCUGGUUUGACGAAAUAAAUUAAUUCAAAAUAAUUUGAUUAUGUUAUUAAAAUCGUCUUUUGAAUUAAACGGAUAAAUUAUCCAGCUAGCUCUCUUUAGUUUUUUUUUGUUUUAAGUAGUAUUAAGAAUGUAUCGGUCUACAAUUUUGAUUGACGACAAUAAAUAAAUGAAUGACUCAUUGAGUCUAAUUAAAUAAUGGGGGUAGAAAACUGUGAUUCAUGAACAGAAUGUGUAGAAAGUACCAUAUCUUGUACAUUACCUUAUUUACACGUUAGUCGGAUGCUCAGAAAGAUCAGGACUAUAGUCCUCAGCCCUAUUCUGUAUUCCGACGGAUUUCCAUUUCGUUCGAAACCGUUAUUUCGCUCAAGUUAUAAUUUAGCAUUCCCUAUUUCGAACGUUUUGCCCAUUUAACGCUCGAUGAGAAACAGAUCGAAUGAAAUGCAAAAACUCGAACGGAAUACAGAAUGACAUUUUAUCAAGCCGUUCGAAAUAUUUC